GUUUGUAUGUUUAAACUGGCGCGGUUUUGUUCGGUCGGGCUCGGGAGAAAUCGAAGUUGUGCUCGGUGUUUGUGCGGCGAGCGAACUCUCAGUUGAGUUUUUCCGUGUCUGUUUGAAUGCUUAAAUUGGCAAGACGCAAAACACGUGCAAUUGAUACGCUUUCGUGACAACGCUUAAAGGCCGUUUUUAUGCUGGUCUCGGGCAGUCAGUUGAAAUCUCCAGGGGCCCCUCAGCUGUAACCGUCACCAGCUGCUGGACAUCGCGUCACCAGUCCACUAACGUCAGCCGUUCUGAACCCGUUCCCCUCCCAGUCACGUGCUCGUUCACAACCACAAAGGGAGACUCUUUUUUAGAUGCGUGUUCGUCCAUAUAAUGGCAGUGAACACUUACCAGCUUCAAACUUAAAAAGAUAAAAAAGUAUCAUGUAAGCGCAGACUAUAAAAACGUAAUUUCUUCCUGUGUCGGCAAAGCUGGGAGAACAUAAUAAUGCCACUAGAUGGCGACAAGAGAGCUUCCUGGUCUUACAGCCCUUUAUGCUUUCUGUGAAGAAUGCGGCCGCCCUUUGUCCCGGAGGGAAGUGGAGCGCUGUCUGUGGGGGAGGGUGCGUGACAUGACCAAGAGCUCCUCUUCGUCACACCGAGCGGUCCAAUCACGCUUGAAGAGAUGAGCUUGCGAAGGAUCUACAGCUCAGAGAAUAGUCACAUUACUGGUUCUGCGGCUUGUAC